GCAUCUGGAGGUGACAGUCAAAUGACGCUCCGGCGCCCUGUUUCCCAUGAUACGGCUCUUUCUGUUGCUCUGCUCUGCUGUGACUUAGUCAAGGAACCUCACCAGAGCUGGACAGAAGGAUCUGUCUGAUCUUGGCUGCUCACCUUCCUAACCAACCUGCCCCGUCUCUUAGUGGACUCUAGAUGCAAUCAAGUUGAUAGCUGAGAUGAACAUCACACAGUGAGAGCCCAAACUCUGUAACCUCACGAAUCCUCUAUGGACUCUGUGAUCUCAAUAUCCCAAACUAGAUUUGCCACAGGAAUAGAACUCUGGCUAACAAAAGAAGGUCGGACACACGGGAAAACACCAGCAGGGCACAUACAGAGGGCAGAUCAUGUGAACAGGUAACAAGAGGGCAUCUGUCUGCAAGCCAAGGGAAGAGGCCUCUCACAAGCCAAACUCGUCAACACCGCGGUCUCAGGUUUCCAGUUUCCAGACCUGUAAGAAACUGCCUAGGAUAAAUCAGCUGGUUUCCAUUGCUAUGGCUGGUGCCGGGAAGUACAGAGCCAAAUGACCAGUUGGAGCCACCACAAUGACUGGAGACAUGAGACCAUGGCAACCAGACCUGAACAGCAGCAGGUGGCAGGCACCAUGAAUGGAGUGGAAUAUGUACUCUCUGGAGGCAACACAGUAGUGUCUGGAGUCCCUUAUGCAGGGGCUGGGGAUAUGGCAACAGUAGCAGGACCCAGCAGGAUUCCUGAAUCUGAGGACCUGGCCCCUGGCCCAGGCUCCCUGAGAAGCUCCUAGGAGAGUCACCCAGCAGGCAUCGGCCUGGACGGCUGUGGCCAGCCUUACUAACAGAGGCCUCCAAGAGCAUCCACCAAGAUGAGCAGAGGCCAAAGUCAUAGAUCCCAGAAGCCACGGAGUCUCAGAGUUCUGCCUCCCGCCAAAGACAGAAACAUGGUCUCGGUGACAUUUGCCGUAUUGGUUAUGACUAUUUCCUAAAAGAGACAGAACCCUCACCUAACCUCCAAGUUAUCCCAAGACGCCAAGUUCUAACUUACUUCUCCAAACCACUAAGACCCAUUUCUCUCUUGGUCCCCCAGCACUUGGGACUGGUAUUCUUAAAGACUCUUCCCAGA